rnacentral:lncRNA from 1 species
UGCCUUUAGGCCCAUUGCCCAGUCCACAGCCCCCCAAGCAUGAAAUCCGUAGGAAUGAAAUGCUUAAGUACAAUUCGAAUUUCCCUCCAAAAUUCUUGGCGCGCGAUAUACCGCGUUUCUCUCCCACUCUCUGGUGCACGUUCUUACAUUCAUGAGCAACUCUCAUUAACCGUUUCCCCACCUGCUGCCGCCACGAUGAGACUCUCCGUCUAUAAAAGUG